AUGAUUGCUGACAUGUUUGAGACCACACCUGACAUAUUUCAGAUCCUUCCUCACAUGUUUAAGACCCUUCAUGAGUUGUUCUACAGUCUUGCUGACUGUGCAGCCAUAGUGCCCAGCUGGAACGGCAUGAUCUUGAAACCCCACUUCCACAAGGACUGGCAGGGGCACGUGGCCACGUGGUUUAACUAGCUGGCCCAGAAGAUCCUCAGACGUUAAGGCUCAGCAAGCCAAGGUGCACCACAUUGCCCCGCAGCCUGCAUCUCAGGGGCCCAUCCAGCCCAUGUGCUCUGCCCCACAGUUCGGUACCACACGAAGGUGUGCACUGGCUGCGGCUUCAGCCUGAAGGAGCUCCGGGCGGCAGGCAUUCACAAGAAGGUGGCCCGGACCAUUGGCAUUUCUGUGGAUCCAGGGAUCCACCGAGUCCACCGAGUCCCUGAAGGCCAACAUGCAGCAGCCGAAGGAGGACGGCUCCAAACUCAUCCUCUUCCCUAGGAAGCCCUCAGCCCCAAAGAAGGCAGACAGUUCUGCUAAAGAGCUGAAACUGGCCACCCAGCUGACAGGACCCGUCAUGCCCAUCCGGAAUGUCUGUAAGAAGGAGAAAGCUCGAGUCAUCACUGAGGAGGAGAAGAGUUUCAAAGCUUUCGCUAGUCUCCACAUGGCCAGUGCCAACGCCCGGCUAGUCAGCAUACAGGCAAAAAGAGCCAAAGAAGCUAUAGAACAGGAUGUUGAAAAGAAAAGGAUAAAGCCCUCUUGGGGACAUGCAAUAAAUCAGCAGUCAUGCUGGGAAAAAAAAAAAAGAAAGAAAGAAAGAAAAGAACAGUCUCAAAAAAUAACAGAAAGGGUUUCAAAUAGUUAG